UACGUAGGAGGCGAGCGUUGUCCGGAAUUACUGGGCGUAAAGCGCGCGUAGGCGGCCCCCUGCGUCGGUCGUGAAAGCUCCCGGCUCACCUGGGAGAGGGCGAUCGAAACGAGGGGGCUUGGAGGGCGGUAGGGGCUGGCGGAACGCCCGGAGUAGCGGUGAAAUGCGCAGAUAUCAGGAGGAACACCAAUGGCGAAGGCAGCUCGCUGGGACGUGACUAACGCUGAGACGCGAAAGCGUGGGGAGCAAACAGG
rnacentral:rRNA from 1 species